rnacentral:rRNA from 1 species
UACGAAGGGGGCUAGUGUUGCUCGGAAUCACUGGGCGUAAAGGGUGCGUAGGCGGGUCUUUAAGUCCGGGGUGAAAUCCUGGAGCUCAACUCCAGAACUGCCUUUGAUACUGAAGAUCUUGAGUUCGGGAGAGGUGAGUGGAACUGCGAGUGUAGAGGUGAAAUUCGUAGAUAUUCGCAAGAACACCAGUGGCGAAGGCGGCUCACUGGCACGGUACUGACGCUGAGGUGCGAAAGCGUGGGGAGCAAACAGG